UCACUUUAUCACCAGCUUUUAUUGAGUAUAAUCAGCGUGUGUUCUACACAGAGAACUUUGUUCAAGGAAUAACUGAUAAGCAGCCUUUAUAUCAGGUAUAAAGAGCUUCAGACUCAAAUGUGUCUUGAGGGAAAAGAUUAUUGACUUUUAAAUCUUCAGUGCUGCAGCUUCUCUCUCUGAGCUGAGUUCAGGUGGUUCCCAGUGAGAUUAGACCUGCAUGAACAUGAUAAUAGCUAGUUGUUGCUUUUUUUUUUUCAUAUUCACCAGUAAAGGAAAGAACCUGAGCACGAAACAACAGAAAAAAAAAACAAUAUAAACUGAUAGUUUUCCCUUUAAUUUCAUUUCACACUAGUACUUCAAAAGGCACAUUAAAGCAUCAGAAGGUAAUCAUACAGGUGAUAUCACCCAAACAGGAUUUUGUUUAAAAAGCUGAUGCUAAAUAAAAUGCAAGAAACAGUAAAGAAGUGAAAUGAAUACUAUGUUUAACUGUAGCUUAUAAGAGGACUUCUGCUUCAAACAAGACAUUGAUAUUAAACAGAGAAUCAUUUCAAUUGGCUCACAGUGACUGAUCUACUUAUAUACGUCAUUACCAGACAGACCCUCAAUCCAAACACCAGAACAGCAAAUCUUUAGUUUAUGUUCUGACAGACAGAGACAGAAUGCAUUCAAUUUAUAAUUUAUGUAAAACUGUGGAAGUUUUAGUUUUUGUAAUUUUCUAUUCUUGCAUUUUUCUUGUUGUUUUAUAUUUAUUUGCCCUUAACAGACAUUUUAUUGCUAGACCAGCAAUAAAAGGCUUAACAUUUAGAAUAAGUGAUUUCAUUUUCUCUUUGCUCUCUGUUUUGAGGUGAGGAUGAAGAGGCAAUUAUUCCUCAGACGAUGAAUGUUUAUUAACUGCCCUGUGCAAAGAAACUGAAGAUGAAAGGCCUAUUGGGAGAAUUUUUUCUUAUCCAGGUAACUUCAAACUUCAGGGUUCAAUCUGUACUAUGAAGGUGGUUCACUUUUUCCUGGGGUUCCUUGUUAAUCUAUGACCUAACCUGUUCAAUAGCAGGUUAGGUCAUAGAUUAGAGAUCUGUAGGUAUGAAAUGAGGUGUGAGAUCACUUCCUACUGACAAACUAAGUCUGUGGCAAACAGCAUCACCAUUCCUGGAAGAGCCUUCAGACCAGCGUGUGGAUAGUAGUAGUUGUCCAAACUCUUUAUAUUAUAUUAUUAUUAUCUUAUAAGAUUUUACAUCAGUUCCAGGUGGACAGAGUUUACAUUGGACAGUAUACAGUAUGUUAUUCAUAUUGUAGUCUUAUCUUUGCUAUAUAACACUGUCUGUGAAGGUUUUAGUCAUCCAGGUCAUCGUAGUCAAAGGAGCUUGCAAAGAAAAGUGUCUGGACAUCUUUAAGUUACUUGAAGAUGUUUCACCUCUCAUCCGAGAAGCUUCUUCAGAACUGAAGAAGCUUCUCAGAAACAUUUCGGAAACAUCUUCAAGUAACUUAAAGAUGUCCAGACACUUUUCUUUGCAAGCUCCUUUGACUACGAUGACCUGGAUGACUGAGAACCUUCACAGACAGUGUUAUAUAGCAAAGAUAAGACUACAAUAUGAAUAACAUACUGUAUACUGUCCAAUGUAAACUCUGUCCACCUGGAACUGAUGUAAAAUCUUAUAAGAUAAUAAUAAUAUAAUAUAUAAAUAUGACCACCAAUGUCAGGAAAGAUACCCUGGGUAUUUUGAACUUGCUUCAUAGUACAGGGCCCAGAUUCGGACCUAUAUUAUAUUUCCACAUGCUGAAUGUCAGAAGUGAGAACUUGGAACGGCAGCAGGAAAUUUAAAGUAAAGCUGAAAAAAGCUCUGAAAUUUUUCAGACAAGCGGUUGUUCAGCUGGAGGCUGGUAUGAUUCCUGGCUCUGCUGUUGUUUAUGUUUUCUGUAGAUCACAAGGCCAACAACAGCAGCAACAAGAAGCACAGCAGAAACUGACAGAAUAGCUGCAGGUCCAACAGAUCCAAUCUUCCCUCCUCCAUCGUCUGGGUUUUCUCCUGUCUGACCUGCAGGAUCAACAACACUCAGGUUUAUGCUGCUGAUGGUUUUCACAGCUCUCUUUCUCCGUUCUCCCCCAUGCGUGAGGAUGCGGCACUCGUAUGUUCCAUUAUCUGCAGCUUUCACUUUCUCCAGAAUCAAAGACACGUCUCCAUUUUUCAUCUGUUGGUCCUGGAGUUCCACCCGGUCUUUAAAAGAUGGUUGCUGGUCUUCUGGAACAAUGUGCCCGUCUCGGAGCAAAAGAACAUAUUCUGGCUCCAGGUCCUGUCUGCUCCACUCCACACCUGCGAGGUUGUUGCUGUUUGGAGCUUGACAUGGCAGAGUGACUUUUUCUCCAAGCCUAGCUGUGAUGGUUUUUAUGUCUGAAAGAGGAAACAACAAAGAUCAGAGAGGUUAAAGGGGUCAGAGUAUAGGUCUUCACUUUUACAGCAGCCAAUAGGAACAAGUAACUUUAAAGAGGAACUGCAAAGCUCUGAUGAACUGGGCAAGAGACAAAACAACAGACAUACUUGGCAUCAUCUGAUGUGUGGUGGAUAAAUCAUUACACCACUUACACAGAAUCGACUCUCUUUCUCUGUGAGGACCUGCACUGAUGUGUGUUCCCAGACCUUAACCUUAAAUGACUUUAACCUGUACAUUAAAAUCAGGAAAAUCAUAUCAACGUCUUCUGUACUAUAAAAGCAUAAAAGCACACACACAAACCUUCUGUUGACUGUUCCCUUUGAUAUGAAUCUCCACAGCCACUGAGUUUGCUCCUUUGUAUCCUUUUGAUCCACAUAUUUAAUAGGAGUGAGGAAAAAAAUUGAAGCAGCCAAAGUACCACAAUAUUAUGAUUGGCUAUACUGUAUUAAUACCUUAGUUGCAUCUAUUAUUGUAGGGUAUUUUACUUACAAUAUAGAGAACCUUGAAACAACUGUUGUUGGGAUUUGAUGCUAAAUAAAUAAAACUGAACUGAAAUUAUAAACAAGGAGAACACCUCAAGUCUUUUCAUUUUUAAAGAGAUAAAUUAGACUUAACUACAAAUUAAAACUAAGGCGAUGGCAGCUUCUAGCUUUGCUUGCCAGUGUCUAGAAAAAAAAACAGAUGGACCAAACUAGUCUUAGAAGCUUAGAAGUCAAGAAAAAACACAUCACAGUUAUUGACAGUUUGAUAAUAAUAAGUUUGUUUGCAGGUUUGCAGGGGCGAUUUCCAAUACGCCAGCAGAUGUCGCUGUUUGAAAUAGCAGGAAACAAAUGCGUCAGCGUUUCCGUGUUUUACGAAGCCUUUUCUUUCCACAUCACUAUCGAUACUGUUUUUAAAAUAGACAUAUUUAUACGUUUCUGUCAUACGAAUCUUACAGGCACUUUGUACUGUCGCAUUAACUUCCCAUGUAAAGGUUUUUUAUGAAAAACAAAAAGACUAAAUGUAGACUACAAUAAAAAAGCAACAAAUUAAACUCACAUAAAAUGUAUUAACUUGUUAUUUAAUCGUUUUUCACACAUUCACAUUGAUCUACUAAUACAAUGCUCACCUUGUGCGGCAGAAAUCAGUGGGUUUAGAGACAGAAGAAUCAGGAAGGGCAGCAUUUUCUCUCUCUUUUCAUUAUGUACACGUUUGUGUACUCCCCAACGCCAGACCUAGCAAACAACUGAAGUUUAAUAUUAAAUUUGUAAUAUUACGCCUCUAAUAUUAAACUUCAGUUGCUCGCUGUAGAAUCUUACAGCAAGAAGUGUUGUUAAGUUUCGUUUUCCUUUCCACACAAAGGGAACAUCCACGCCCUGUAAACCACACCACGUGAUUGCCGAUAACACAUAGGUUUCAUGCAUUCUUACUUCAG
ensembl:lncRNA